rnacentral:rRNA from 1 species
GACGAACGCUGGCGGCGUGCUUAACACAUGCAAGUCGAACGGAAAGGCCCUGCUUUUGUGGGGUGCUCGAGUGGCGAACGGGUGAGUAACACGUGAGUAAGCUGCCCUUGACUUUGGGAUAACUUAAGGAAACUGGGGCUAGUUCCUGCUAGGAGCUCCUGCUGCAUGGUGGGGGUUGGAAAGUUUCGGCGGCUGGGGAUGGACUUGCUGCUUAUCAGCUUGUUGGUGGGGUAGUGGCUUACUAGGGCUGUGAUGGGUUGCCGGCCUGACAGCGUGACCGGCACACUGGGGACUGAGCUACGGCCGGGAGUCGUGCGGGAGACAGCAGUGGGGAAGAUUGCCCGAUGGGCGGACGCCGGAUGCAGGAACGCCGCGUGCGGGAUGACGGCCUCCGGGUUGUAAACCGCUUGCGCCUGUGACGAAGCGUGGGUGACGGUAAUGGGUAAAGAAGCACCGGCUAACUACGUG